rnacentral:rRNA from 1 species
GCUUACGGCCAUACCAACCUGGCUAUGCCCGAUCUCGUCUGAUCUCGGAAGCUAAGCAGGUUAGGGCCUGGUUAGUACUUGGAUGGGAGACCGCCUGGGAAUACCAGGUGCUGUAAGCU